rnacentral:rRNA from 1 species
GACGAACGCUGGCGGCGUGCUUAACACAUGCAAGUCGAACGGAAAGGCCCUGCUUUUGUGGGGUGCUCGAGUGGCGAACGGGUGAGUAACACGUGAGUAACCUGCCCUUGACUUUGGGAUAACUUCAGGAAACUGGGGCUAAUACCGGAUAGGAGCUCCUGCUGCAUGGGGGGGGUUGGAAAGUUUCGGCGGUUGGGGAUGGACUCGCGGCUUAUCAGCUUGUUGGUGGGGUAGUGGCUUACCAAGGCUUUGACGGGUAGCCGGCCUGAGAGGGUGACCGGCCACAUUGGGACUGAGAUACGGCCCAGACUCCUACGGGAGGCAGCAGUGGGGAAUAUUGCACAAUGGGCGGAAGCCUGAUGCAGCAACGCCGCGUGCGGGAUGACGUCCUUCGGGUUGUAAACCGCUUUCGCCUGUGACGAAGCGUGAGUGACGGUAAUGGGUAAAGAAGCACCGGCUAACUACGUG